rnacentral:misc_RNA from 1 species
UUCUCCAGGUUGAGGUCCAGG